UGGGGGAUAUUGCACAAUGGGCGAAAGCCUGAUGCAGCGACGCCGCGUGGGGGAUGAAGGCCUUCGGGUUGUAAACUUCUUUUGCUCUGAACAAGGCAUGCUAAUGGGUGUGUUAAGUGUAGGGGUUGAUUAGCGCCGGCUAACUACGUGCCAGCAGCCGCGGUAAUACGUAGGGCGCGAGCGUUGUCCGGAAUUAUUGGGCGUAAAGGGCUUGUAGGUGGCUGGUUGCGUCUGUCGUGAAAGCUCAUGGCUUAACUGUGGGUUUGCGGUGGGUACGGGCUGGCUUGAGUGCAGUAGGGGAGGCUGGAAUUCCUGGUGUAGCGGUGGAAUGCGCAGAUAUCAGGAGGAAUACCGGUGGCGAAGGCGGGUCUCUGGGCUGUUACUGACACUGAGGAGCGAAAGCAUGGGGAGCGAACAGG
rnacentral:rRNA from 1 species